GGUCUUAUGGUCUAGUGGUAUGAUUCUCGCUUAGGGAUUACCCUGAGUCAAUUUGCGAGAGGCCCCGCGUUCGAGUCGCGGUAAGACCC
rnacentral:tRNA from 1 species